rnacentral:rRNA from 1 species
UCAGCAGCCGCGGUAAUACGAAGGUGGCAAGCGUUACUCGGAAUUACUAGGCGUAAAGGGCAGGUAGGUGGUUCGAUAAGUCUGUUGUGUAAGCUCCCGGCUUAACUGGGAGAGGUCAACGGAAACUAUCGAGCUUGAGUAUGGGAGAGGGUACUGGAAUUCCCGGUGUAGCGGUGAAAUGCGCAGAUAUCGGGAGGAACACCAAUGGCGAAAGCAGGUACCUGGACCAUUACUGACACUCAGCUGCGAAAGCUAGGGGAGCAAACAGGAUUAGAUACCCUGGUAGUCCUAGCUGUAAACGAUGCACAUUAGGCGUGGGGGGUAUCGACCCCCUCCGUGCCGACGUUAACACAUUAAAUGUGCCGCCUGGGGAGUACGGCCGCAAGGUUGAAACUCAAAGGAAUUGACGGGGGCCCGCACA